GUUGAACGCUGGCGGCGUGCCUAAUACAUGCAAGUCGAGCGAACGGACGAGAAGCUCUCUUCUCUGAUGUUAGCGGCGGAUGGGUGAGUACUACGUGGCUAACCUACCUAUAAGACUGGGAUAACGUCGGGAACCCUGAUCUCAUAUCCGUUGAUAUUUUGAACGUCAUGGUUCAAAAGUGAAAGACGUUUUAGCUGACCCUCAUAGAUGGUACCGCGCUGCAUUAGCUAGUUGGUAAGGUAACGGCUUACCAAGGCAACGAUGCAUAGCCGACCUGAGAGGGUGAUCGGCCACACUGGAACUGAGACACGGUCCAGACUCCUACGGGAGGCAGCAGUAGGGAAUCUUCCGCAAUGGGCGAAAGCCUGACGGAGCAACGCCGCGUGAGUGAUGAAGGUCUUCGGAUCGUAAAACUCUGUUAUUAGGGAAGAACAUAUGUGUAAGUAACUGUGCACAUCUUGACGGUACCUAAUCAGAAAGCCACGGCUAACUACGUG
rnacentral:rRNA from 1 species